rnacentral:miRNA from 1 species
CACUGAAUUUUGGCUCCUUGAUU